rnacentral:lncRNA from 10 species
CACGAGCCUGCAACGCCCACCGUUGCCUGCUUCCAACUGUGCCUCACGUUCCUUCCAACGGCGCCUUCCAUCCCAGCUGGGCGGGGCUUCGCCGUGUUACCUUCUCAACAUGGCGAGCUUGCUGGACGUCACGUCGCCUUCGCCUUUUCCGCUGCGGACUCUGCUCACCGACCUCCUCAGUAGAGCCGGCCCUGCUCACUACCGCGCCCACGUGUCCUGUUGUGCUUCAUUCCCACAGGCCGCAUAAGUGAUUUUGUAUAUCUGUACUGGGAGCUGGAGGGAGAGUGAAAUACGUAACCCUGAGAGUGAAAGUUAGAAAAAUCUACGUGAAUCACAGAGGCAUUUGCCAAGAUCGGCUCAGAGAAAAGAACAUCAUGGUGGCUCACUCCUGUAAUCCCAGUGCUUUGGGAGGCUGAGGCUGGAGGAUUGCUUGAGGCCAGGAGUUCGAGACCAGCUUGACAACAUAGCAAGACUCCGUCUCUACACAAAUGGCUAUAGCCCCAGCUACUUGGAAGGCCGAGGUGGGAGAAUCGCUUGAGCCCAGGAGGUUGAGGUUGCAGUGAGCCAUAACUGCACCACCGCACUCCAGCCUGAGCAGCAGAGUGAGACUCUGUCUCAAAAAAUAAAUAAAAAUUAAAAAAAGGACAUCAGGUUCAGCAAAGCCUAAAGGGAACAUACGAGGAGGGAAGAGUUUGUUGGCCUUAGCAUAGGUCGAGGGUUCUGUGGGAGGUCUAGUUCUGGCACAGCCUGCGCUGAGACAGGAAGCUCUCUCAGAUGCUGCCAUAAACACUAUGUAUGAGGAACAAAUGCUGGGCAUGUGAGCACAUGAGCCCUGACUUUGAAGCCAACCAUGGGGCAUGACUGCAAUGCUGGGGGGAGCCAGGCCAGCAAGGACCAGGGAAAUGGAGAUGUGUCCAUCUGACGCUAAGGCGGUUCUCUUAACAAUUAAAGCAACCAAGUAACUGUGCAAUUACAGGAAUAGAAAACCAAAUGCUGCAUAUUCUCAUUUAUAAGGGGGAACUAAAUGAUGAGAACACAUGGACACAGAGGGGAACAACACACAUUGGGGCCUUUUGGAGGGUGGAGGGAGGGAGGAGGGAGAGGAUCAUGAAAAAUAACUAAUGGGUACUAGGCUUAAUACCUGGGUGAUGAAAUAAUCUGUACAACAAACCCCCAUGACACAAGUUUACCUGUGUAACAAACCUGCACGUGUAUCCCUGA